GGAGAUGGCACAAAGGGAGAUCCCAUGAGCAGCUGAGAGAAUUCGGACAGAUGUGUGAAGCUGAGGUGGGUGCGUUCCUCCCUGACCCAUGCUGUAUCCCUUAAGCCAUCUCAACUGCUCCUUAGAAGCAGUGAUCAUUAAACAUUUGCCAAGUUGAUUUUGCUCUGCAUCUCUGAAUGUGAAGGGUGACUGUGGUUUGGUCCUAACAGCUGCGUGAGCCCAGAGGGAGCAGAUCAUCCCUUGGAAUAGUCAGCGC
rnacentral:lncRNA from 1 species